GUAACGAGCGCAACCCUUGCCUUAGUUACCAGCACGUAAUGGUGGGAACUCUAAGGAGACUGCCGGUGACAAACCGGAGGAAGGUGGGGAUGACGUCAAGUCAUCAUGGCCCUUACGGCCAGGGCUACACACGUGCUACAAUGGUCGGUACAAAGGGUUGCCAAGCCGCGAGGUGGAGCUAAUCCCAUAAAACCGAUCGUAGUCCGGAUCGCAGUCUGCAACUCGACUGCGUGAAGUCGGAAUCGCUAGUAAUCGUGAAUCAGAAUGUCACGGUGAAUACGUUCCCGGGCCUU
rnacentral:rRNA from 1 species